UAAUUAAGUGUUCCUCCCUAGAGCCCUGCA
rnacentral:piRNA from 1 species